GGGUUACUUCAGGAUUAUUAAUUAAAUCAAUCUCCAUCUGGCUCCAAAUUCCAUCUGAAGCUUUUCCUCUAUUCUCCUUCUGAGAGAAGGAGCAGAGAGAAGAGAAUCACUGUGUUCCUGUCGCCGGCAUUUCUCACAAGGAGACUACCUCCUUGCCGUCACCGAUGAAGUUCCACGGAAAGAUAUUCUCGGAAUCCAUUCUGAGCCAAGCGAUCUGAACAAGAUCUAUCGGGUGUUGAGGGUCAAAUCCUGGCAUAAAUCAAAGUAUGGUCAAAUCGCUAUUGAGAAGGCAGAGCAGAAGGAACGUACAAGCAUGACUGGUGGAAAUGUAACCGCUCCAGAAAACCUCGGUCAGUUUCUCCAAAGUUAAUGUAGGGGACCAUGUGACCCUGACAUCCCACUUCUCGGAAACCACCUGGAGAUGGAGAAGACAGAUGAUAUGCAGAUUGGAACAUGGAACAAGGAGGUGAAAAACAGAGACCGUACCUUGCAGACGAUGGAGAUGUCAAAGGUCAACUAGAUCUUUAGUCAAAAGGUUAGAGGUCAAAAUUAGAUUGAGUGAUGGAACAAGCCAAGUGUGAGAAGUG